rnacentral:rRNA from 1 species
UAGGGAAUCUUCGGCAAUGGACGAAAGUCUGACCGAGCAACGCCGCGUGAGUGAAGAAGGUUUUCGGAUCGUAAAACUCUGUUGUUAGAGAAGAACAAGGACGUUAGUAACUGAACGUCCCCUGACGGUAUCUAACCAGAAAGCCACGGCUAACUACGUGCCAGCAGCCGCGGUAAGACGUAGGUGGCAAGCGUUGUCCGGAUUUAUUGGGCGUAAAGCGAGCGCAGGCGGUUUCUUAAGUCUGAGGUGAAAGCCCCCGGCUCAACCGGGGAGGGUCAUUGGAAACUGGGAAACUUGAGUGCAGAAGAGGAGAGUGGAAUUCCAUGUGUAGCGGUGAAAUGCGUAGAUAUAUGGAGGAACACCAGUGGCGAAGGCGGCUCUCUGGUCUGUAACUGACGCUGAGGCUCGAAAGCGUGGGGAGCAAACAGG